AAAAACCAUCCUACGUUGUGUCGGUUUUUUGCUUUUGUAUUCUUCACCUCCUCAAACAACUCAGCCAACACCGCCUACCAGGGAUUCCAUCUACCGGAAGUCCUGCUGUACCACCAACAUCCGGUCCAUCGCGAAACGCCACAGGUACGUGCAAUAACAAACCAAAACCAAUUAAACCUCAGGUGACUUCCCACACUUUAUAACGGUUUCACACAUCAGGUUGAGGCCUGCACUUUGCUGUGUUCAUAUAUUUUCCCACGCUUGACGGCUCGUCACCUUCUAAACUCAACCAAUCAGCAACCUUCCCGCGCUUAGCACCAUUCACACGUUUUCCCACGCUUGUCACGGGUAGCAUGUUUUCCGACACGUGUGACUUGUUUUCCCGCUCCUUGCACUGGUUGCUUGUCUCGUCUCGCAGACAUCGGUUACACUUUUAUUCUUGGAUUGAUUCUAUGUUUCCGGGCGCUUGGCACAGGUUAGCUAUUUUUCAGCGCUGGUAACAGAUUCAAUAUAUCCUGCGCUUUGCAAUGGUUACACAGUUUCUUUUAACUUCGAAAAAAUGAGGGUUCGAGAAAUCUAGAUUCCACUGCAUUUAGUUUCGUCCAUUUUCAUUUCCUUUAUUCUUGCUAUCCACCCGAUUAGUUUCCAUUUGUAUGAUCCAAGCUCUUCAUAGUCGUAAUAUAAGCCUGCUUCUUUGUAGUUCGAGGAUUAAAUCUAAAAAAGUUCUUUUUAGGUUCCUGUGCUGAUCCACUUGGUCUUUGGUGGGAAAACCGACUCCCUGACAGCGCAUUCACUGCCUCUUCACAGCUGUCCUCUGGACGGGAUAUAUUCGUUGAACACGUCAAAAGGUACGAACUUGCAUUCAGCACUGAUGCAACGAACUUCAAGAACUACGGGGAGAACGGGAAAUCGAAGGUAUUCGACGGUAGUUGCGACAACUUCACACCGGUUCUAAACAGGUUUAAUCCUGUUAAAGCACGUUAUGUCAAGGUUCUUCCUCAUGACAGUCCGUCAACCUGGGUCUGUAUGAGAUUUGAACUGUACGGCUGUGAUGCUUAAGGUCUGUAAGCAUUUGUGGAAAUUGAGCAGAAUUAAUUUAACCAACAACAACAGCAAGAGUUGACAAGAAAAACCCACAGAUCUAUCAAAGCAAUUUAUGAAAGAAUGGGUCUUGUAAAAUGAGAUUUGUUUUACGUAGCGAUAAAAUAAACUUAAUG
rnacentral:lncRNA from 1 species